AUUUGGCUAGCUCAGUCAGUACAGUAUGUGACUCUUGAUCUCAAGGUCAUGAGUUCAAGCCCCAUGCUGUGUG
rnacentral:tRNA from 1 species